rnacentral:rRNA from 1 species
GAUGAACGCUGGCGGCGUGCCUAAUACAUGCAAGUCGAGCGAACAGACGAGGAGCUUGCUCCUCUGACGUUAGCGGCGGACGGGUGAGUAACACGUGGAUAACCUACCUAUAAGACUGGGAUAACUUCGGGAAACCGGAGCUAAUACCGGAUAAUAUAUUGAACCGCAUGGUUCAAUAGUGAAAGACGGUUUUGCUGUCACUUAUAGAUGGAUCCGCGCCGCAUUAGCUAGUUGGUAAGGUAACGGCUUACCAAGGCAACGAUGCGUAGCCGACCUGAGAGGGUGAUCGGCCACACUGGAACUGAGACACGGUCCAGACUCCUACGGGUGGCAGCAGUAGGGAAUCUUCCGCAAUGGGCGAAAGCUUGACGGAGCAACGCCGCGUGAGUGAUGAAGGUCUUCGGAUCGUAAAACUCUGUUAUUAGGGAAGAACAAAUGUGUAAGUAACUAUGCACGUCUUGACGGUACCUAAUCAGAAAGCCACGGCUAACUACGUG